rnacentral:rRNA from 1 species
UAAUACGUAGGGGGCAAGCGUUAUCCGGAAUUAUUGGGCGUAAAGGGCUCGUAGGCGGUUCGUCGCGUCUGGUGUGAAAGUCCAUCGCUUAACGGUGGAUCUGCGCCGGGUACGGGCGGGCUGGAGUGCGGUAGGGGAGACUGGAAUUCCCGGUGUAACGGUGGAAUGUGUAGAUAUCGGGAAGAACACCAAUGGCGAAGGCAGGUCUCUGGGCCGUUACUGACGCUGAGGAGCGAAAGCGUGGGGAGCGAACAGGAUUAGAUACCCUGGUAGUCCACGCCGUAAACGGUGGAUGCUGGAUGUGGGGCCCUUUCCACGGGUUCCGUGUCGGAGCUAACGCGUUAAGCAUCCCGCCUGGGGAGUACGGCCGCAAGGCUAAAACUCAAAGAAAUUGACGGGGGCCCGCACAAGCGGCGGAGCAUGCGGAUUAAUUCGAUGCAACGCGAAGAACCUUACCUGGGCUUGACAUGUUCCCGACGGUCGUAGAGAUACGGCUUCCCUUCGGGGCGGGUUCACAGGUGGUGCAUGGUCGUCGUCAGCUCGUGUCGUGAGAUGUUGGGUUAAGUCCCGCAACGAGCGCAACCCUCGCCCCGUGUUGCCAGCGCGUCAUGGCGGGAACUCACGGGGGACCGCCGGGGUUAACCCGGAGGAAGGCGGGGAUGACGUCAGAUCAUCAUGCCCCUUACGUCCAGGGCUUCACGCAUGCUACAAUGGCCGGUACAACGGGAUGCGACAUGGCGACAUGGAGCGGAUCCCUGAAAACCGGUCUCAGUUCGGAUCGCAGUCUGCAACUCGACUGCGUGAAGGCGGAGUCGCUAGUAAUCGCGAAUCAGCAACGUCGCGGUGAAUGCGUUCCCGGGCCUUGUACACACCGCCCGUCAAGUCAUGAAAGUGGGCAGCACCCGAAGCCGGUGGCCUAACCCUUCUUGGGGGGGAGCCGUCUAAGGUGAGGCUCGUGAUUGGGACUAAGUCGUAACAAGGUAGCCGUAUCGGAAGGUGCGGCUG